GCCCUUGUAGCCCAAUUGGAAGAGGCGCUAGGUUUAGACCCUAGUCAGUGCUGGUUCAAGCCCAGUCAGGGGUA
rnacentral:tRNA from 1 species